UACGGGGUGCGCAAGCGUUGUUCGGAUUUACUGGGCGUAAAGGGCGCGUAGGCGGCCACCGCAAGUCGACUGUGAAAUCUCCGGGCUUAACCCGGAAAGGUCAGCCGAUACUGCGGGGCUAGAGUGCAGAAGGGGCAACUGGAAUUCUCGGCGUAGCGGUGAAAUGCGUAGAUAUCGAGAGGAACACCUGCGGCGAAGGCGGGUUGCUGGGCUGACACUGACGCUGAGGCGCGAAAGCUAGGGGAGCGAACGGG
rnacentral:rRNA from 1 species